CGACCUGGCCCGGACCGCCUUCGGCUACGCGCCGCCGCUCAGCCCGGCGCUGGCCUCCUCCCUGCACGCGGCCAAGGCGGGCUCGGGCCUGGCCCGCUCGCCCUUCUCCAUCGAGAGCAUCAUGGGCGGCGGCCUGAGCCCCGCGGCCGGCAGCAGCUGCGCCUCGCAGUCCGCCGUCGUGCCCUUCCUCGCCAGGUCGCUCGUCACCUCCUCGGUGUCCUCUGCCGCCGCCGCUGCCUUGGGGACCCUGCACCAGGGCACGGCCCUCUCCGGCGGCGAGAACUUUACUGCUAGGAUUUCAAAUUGUUAAUGGGGGAAAGCCUCGCGGAAGCGGCAGGUCUCUCUCAUCUCUUGCAAUCCUCUCCUUUCCAAAGAGCUAAUGCACACGAUGCAGAUUUUUGUUUCCACUGCGGACGAGGUUUCACCUCCCCGGAGGCUGCCAGUUUCUUUGGAGGAUUUGAUUUGACACGGAAGCGGCUGUCAUUGUCAUCUGCAAAUAGAGCAGAGAGGAUCUGGCUCUCUCCAGCUACUGGCUAGUUUCGGCCCUCAAAGCUGAGCCACUUUGUUUUGGCUGGCCGCGGAUCAGACAAGCACUCAGGUGCUGUGAGUCAUCACUUUCAAAGGAUGCAUUUGCAAAGACCUCUUCUCUUCAAGCCACGGAGUGACCUAGUGAUGCAUCAGCAGCUCUUCCCCCGGGAGCUCCUGCUGCUGUUCAAAACCUCCCUGUUCUGAGCGGCCGCUCCUGGAAGAGCUCUCCCCUCUUCCUGCGAUCCUGCAGUGUCCCUAUCAUUCCUCCGCAAGCCUUAUUUAUAUCUCCUCCUGGCAGACAGAUGUGACUGGAGCUUUCCCCUAGGGGAAAUCAUCUUACUGUAAUGAAUCGUGACUGUCCUGUGAUGUAACGCGCGGUGAUGUAUGAAAAUGAGCAGGGUCAGUGCAUUCAUCGUCUCUCCAGCAAGGCCCCGCUAACACAUGACUCCGAGGUGGACAGGGCUGCUCUUCCUCGGUUUCCCGAGGGUGCCCCAGCCCUGGGCUGAUCGAGAGUUUUGACAAGGGAGGUGCAGCUGGUGAGAGGCAUUAUCGCGCAUAAAGAAACACAUUUUUCUCCUCAUAACAAUAAACUAGAAGCUUUACUAAUAUGCCA
rnacentral:lncRNA from 1 species